rnacentral:lncRNA from 1 species
UUUUAAGUAGUACUUCUUUUUCCUGGUUUUAAUACAUGCCCAAACUUGAGAACGUAUUAUGCUUGAUGACCUACUUUAUUGCCAGUAUUGUUUUUCUUUUUUUUUCUUUCCCUGUGGAACAUUGUUCACAUGGCAAUACCUUAGGUUCAACAGAAUUUAGGGAGAUGAAGAAUUUUCAAAGGAGACAAUCGUAUUUGGACAAGAGGAAGAAAGUCGUCAACCAUGAGGGAUGGGAAGGGGAUGUGGAUUUGAUUGCUGCUGUUUGUUUUAUGUUGGGGAUUGAAGGUGCUGUCUGCUGGGGUUCCAGCUCAGUAGCAAGAUUCUGCCUAUUGUCCCAGACUCCGAAAUCUCAGAGGAAGCUACCAUGGCCCCUGCAGAACAAGUACUACAUGGAUGCUGAAUCCUGAAAUGGUUGCUGAUAGGAUAACACAAUGAAUUUAUGUGGUAAGGGAAAGGCAAGAACCAAGGAAGCUUUUGCAGUUUUUUUCUUGAACAAUCAGAUUGAUGGCAACUCUAUUUAUCACAAUAGGGCAGAAAUGAGAGGGGAGUGGGGUUGGAUUAGACAGAGAAGCAGAUGGAGC